CAGCCGCCGCGGUAAUACGUAGGGUGCAAGCGUUAAUCGGAAUUACUGGGCGUAAAGCGUGCGUAGGCGGUGAGUUAAGUCUGCUGUGAAAUCCCCGGGCUCAACCUGGGAAUGGCAGUGGAUACUGGCUCGCUAGAGUGUGUCAGAGGAUGGUGGAAUUCCCGGUGUAGCGGUGAAAUGCGUAGAGAUCGGGAGGAACAUCAGUGGCGAAGGCGGCCAUCUGGGACAACACUGACGCUGAGGCACGAAAGCGUGGGGAGCAAACAGGAUUAGAUACCCCCGUAGUCCCUGUCUCUUAUAC
rnacentral:rRNA from 1 species